rnacentral:rRNA from 1 species
UACGUAGGGGGCAAGCGUUGUCCGGAUUUAUUGGGCGUAAAGAGCGUGUAGGCGGCUAGGUAGGUCCGUUGUGAAAACUCGAGGCUCAACCUCGAGACGUCGAUGGAAACCAUCUAGCUAGAGUCCGGAAGAGGAGAGUGGAAUUCCUGGUGUAGCGGUGAAAUGCGACAGAUAUCAGGAAGAACACCCGUGGCGAAGGCGGCUCUCUGGUACGUGACUGGACGC